AAAACUCAAGUAAUGGGAGAAAUCAAGCUAGCAUUGAAGAAGGAAAUGAAAACAGAUGGUGAACAGCUAAUAGUUGAAAUUCUCCAGUGCAGAAAUAUUACCUACAAAUUUAAGUCUCCAGAUCAUUUACCAGAUUUAUAUGUGAAACUAUAUGUGAUAAACAUCUCUACCCAAAAAAAGGUUAUUAAAAAGAAGACAAGGGUAUGCCGACAUGAUCGAGAGCCUUCUUUUAAUGAAACUUUUAGAUUCAGCCUAAGUCCUGCGGGCCAUUCGCUUCAGAUUUUACUUUUCUCCAAUGGAGGGAAGUUUAUGAAGAAGACGUUGAUUGGAGAAGCAUGUAUCUGGCUUGACAAAGUGGAUCUGAGGAAAAGAAUAGUCAAUUGGCACAAAUUGUUGGUGAGUCCCACUCAAACACACUGAGGACGUUGUCUGCUCAGGGUGAGGAAACAGCUCUGCAGCCUCAGAUCGAAACUGGAGUUGAACACUACUGUGCUGAUCUACAUUUUCCAGGGCAAACAUGAGAUCGCAAGCAAGAAGCAAACAGACAGCCUUGCUGUGGCACACAAAGAGACUUGAAAAGUUCACGUGUUGAAAGCAAACUGACGAAAACAGGCCAGAGACACUGGAUUGCUCAUAGCUGUGAAGAGAAGCUCUGAGAGAAGAUUUGACUUUUUAAGAUAAAUAUCUUUGAUCAGACUGAGUUGGAACUGGAAAAAAAGUGGCACAAAGGUUAUUAAGGUGUUGAAAGGUAGUGUGAAAGCAAUCGCUUAAAUACACGUAACCUUGUUGAGGAAAAAAAAUUGAUGUAAUGAAUCUUGGUUUUCAAAAGAUCAAAAUUCCUUGUCUUAUAUUCUCAUGAAACUUCCUGUUUUGGAAUUCUGACAUAAGAUUCAAUUCUGAGUUUUCUACAGGACCAGAAGGUGACUGUGUUUAUGGGGAAAAUUAAGCCAGAGUUAUGAACAAUGGAUUUUUAGAUUACACAGUGCAUGUUUUCCCUGUGUCUAAGUUAGAAAGCUAUACAGCAGUAGGUCUAAAUUCUAUGUGACAAAAGCACAUCAGUUUUGGUGUAUUUUAAAAUAGUGAAGAGUGAAGAUACUAGUAGGUUAAAGUGAAAUUUUAUUUAUCUAGAACAAAAACAAAACAAAAAAAUUAGAGACUGGAUAUAAAGAAGAAUGUUAACCCACAAAACAUGUACCUUGGUUGAAAACAUUACAAUAUCCAUAAUUUGCAUCAAGUCAAGGUGUUCUCAACUGUACACAUGAAGGUAUAUAGAGUAAUAGGUGUGCCCUAAGAAAAGGGUUGCCCGUUCUCUGAGGAACUGCUAUUACAUGUAUCAUAUUGCAUAUUUCCUUUCUCUUGCAAAAUGUACUGUCAGAGACCUAAAAUUAUUGUUCUCGCAAACGAACUCUAUUUGUCAUAUGACAUUAAUUAAACUCUUGUCAUUUCCUGAUUUUCCAUGUUUUUCUCUAAACUGAAUGACUACAUAAUGAACAUUCUGAUGUCAAUGCCAUGUUCCUUCUCCUCUUCUGCUUUCUUGCUAGGGAUAUCAGAAUUAGAAAUCACACGGGAUGGGAAAGGAUGUAAGGGUCAAUGUUUGAAAUUAAAACAUAUUUGACUUGUUUUAAUAGUAUAGACUCAAACAACCCAUGUACGAACCAGUAAAAAUGAAGCAUUCUCUUUCCCCAUCAACCACCAAUGCCAAUAGAGAAAGUAACACAGAAACUGUGGGAAACACAUUCAGCUGGGAUGAAAAUUCUGGCUUCUAGUCCUGAUUUUACUACUCACUUUGCACAGAUCACCUUGCAAAUCUCAUGUAAACUCACUAUCCCCCAAAAUAAUGGUGUAUAAAGAACAUAUGAGAUGGGGAAGCACAUUUUCAAAUAUAGCUUUAUAUAUAAACUGAGAGUUAAUUAUUAGGUAGCUUUUUAAUUCUCAAAUUUUAUAUGUGAGGAACAACUUCCAACUAUUGGUGAGCAUUACCAUGGAAAAAAGCAGUCAAUUGUUCCAAAUCGCGUUUGUAUUUAAAUAUAAACUUCCAUUUCACAUGAAAAAGAUUGGAUAUUAAGUAAAAAUUAUUUGUCACACCAAAUUUAUCGAAGUGCACGAUUAGAAUCCAAUCCCCAAAACAAACCAAAAAAUAAACUAACUUGCUUUGUAGAGUUUUGAACCCAAAAGCUGUUGCUUUACUUAAGAUGAAAGUCUAGUCGGAUUAAAGGAAAUCAUCUCAAAAUUAUUGGUUGGAUAUUGAAUUUUCUCAUAUUUUAGAGAAAAACAUUAUGUAAAACACUUGGAGUAAAGGAUUUCUGGUAUAUGACAAAUUAUAUAUCUUACGCUGAUGAAAAAAAUUUAAAUCCACAUUGCUUGUCCUAAAAUACCACCACUCACUUCCCUCCAUCUUUUUCUCCCUCUUCCCAGACAAUGCGAUGCCCUUUACCACUGAUGGUCUUCUAAAGUAAACAAUGGGAGACGUGAAAUUUCAAAGCUAGGAUGUUGCUACCACUCUAGUUUUAGAGACUGCUACAUCUGCUGGUGGUUGCCAUGGAUAUUUCCAGCAGACAAUCUCACUUGAGGAAGCCUAUAAUCAGUCCCAAAGGAGGGGGAAAGACGUCUAAGACGAUCUUCUGACAUCAAAAGGCUCUGCCAUUUGUUCCUCACAGUGGGCUCUGGUUCUGUUCUACAGCACUGGUACUCCAACUGUUCCCUGGAAGGUUGUAUAGCACAGCACGGUAGCUUACUCCUUUCUAGUUACACCUUACACAGACAGACCACCAGAGCAAGAUCAUCCUGAGUAGCUAGCUAUUAAGCAUGGAAGAAUGGAAGGCUUCCUAAUACAGCUGCCCCUCAGUUCUAAGAAGCUAGUGAUGGGUUAGAUCGAUCAGACCAAUCAAGAGAGUCAGUGACAGAGCUUCUGAUCAUGCACCAGCAUUCCCCUUGAGAAAGGAAAAGAUCCUGCCAGUGUGCCAAGUUUGCAGCUGAUGAAACUCCUAGGUUGUAACUGGAAUUGCUCUAUGCAACACCAAUUCUUAUACGAGUGCACUUCUGAGGGACGCUGAUUGCCCUUCUCACAACAAAACUAUUUCUUUUUUAAUUGCAAAUAGGGCUCUUAGUGUUUUUUUACUUUUUUGUAAAUAACACGAUACAUGAUUUUCCACUUUUUAUUUUACUUUAUGUUAUUAGAAUUAGCUUUUUAUCUUAAUAGUAACAAUUUAUAAUCUCUAAUUACUAGAUUAGUAAUCUUCUUGCAACACUUGAACCUUGAGAAGUAUUUCAUUUCCCUACUAGUCCAUUGAGUCAUCAGAUAUGAAAGUUACCUGCUGGUUUAAAUUUAUUAUUAAGAGGUCUUUCAAUAGAGAAGAAAAAGCACAGAGUGAAUUUUUAUAUAAGAUGGGAAAUUAUAGAAUCAUAAUUAUAGAUACAGAUAACACUAGUAGCAAGAAGUUGGUGUUUUCUCUGAUUUUACUUAAUAUUAAGAAAAAUUUUGGUGACUCUAAACUCAUUUGAUUACCUUUUGUGUUUUAAAGGAAAAAUACUGAAUAUUAAGGGAUAGUAAUUACCCUUGAAUCCUUACUAUGGUCCAUAUUUUAAUAGAUCAUGAUAGUUAAAUAUACAUUCUCUGCAUAUCUAUGAGGUUGACUGGGGGAAUCAUAUACACUAGACUAGUUGUAUCCUGGGAAUAUUAUAGCUGGUAACCAGCUGAUAUUGAUUCUCACUAUAGAAUGGUUGUUAUGAUGUUGGUGGUAGUCAUAGUAGCAAUAGCGGUGGCAGUGAUACGGAGUAAAAUAAAUUAUUUGUUACUAUAUUGUGCCCAGUUUCUUAGAAAUGAUUUAAUCAAUGCUUCAUUUCAUUAAAGUAUCAUAAAGAUGUUUAUAGUAUUUUUUUACUUUAUUAUUUAAAUCAUAACUAACAAUAUUUUUAAAAGCUUAUUUUAAUUGCUAUAAUGUCAAACUGUCCAAAAUUAGCCAACUACAGCUACAUGUGUUUAUAACUAUACGUAUGAGAGGUGUAACUUUCCCUCCUUUUGAGUUUGAAAUGAAAGUGAAAGCUCAAUAACCAUGAGCUUUUCCCUUAAUAGUUGUUUGCCUUUAGUGACACAAGGAUGAAUGAAUGAGUGAAACCUAUAUUCUCAUUGACUAUGACACAUGGAUGUUUUCUGUAUGUCUCGUGUGGCUAUUAUUGAAGAUUUACAUUAAACAAAAAUCUAAUCAAGUCCUUUAUCUGAUAGGUAGACUGAGAGCUUUUUCUGAGUCUGUUACCCUGUAUAUACCUAGACAUUUGGAAACAUAGCAACUGUAGAACUAGCCUCAUCCUUUGGAAGUCAGCAUGUGACUGUGAUUAUCAUUCGACUGUAUCUGUACAUUCGUUCCGUGAUGUGCUCAGGUGCUCCCACUACUGAUUAAAUGUGUGUGCUAAUAUCUUAACAACACAUCUGUUUAAAAACGGUGUUUCUUGUCUAAGAAAAGUUUAAAAACCUAAUAAAAUUUAUUUCCAACCGAACAUGAAGUUCUUGGAGAUGUGUCUCGUUUCUGAUGAUACGUUGCAUGCUUUCUUGGUGAUUUGCUAAUCUUUUUAUUAUUUUCUUGUUUACCAAACAGUCUGAAACCUUAAUGAACAAAUGCUAACUCUUGGGCUAGUGAUUGUAUAAACCGACCUGAAAAUAAACAAGAAUUGUGUAGAGACAAAAUGCUUGUAAAUCUGUCUUGAGUUUUAUUCUCUGUAAAAAACAUGUCUUGGUUUUGUGACUGUACACAGUUGUAUCUUGAUAACUUAUGUAAACUGUGCUGUAUAAAGGCUGUCAUAUCAGUCUUACCAAUAAAUAAUGAAAAU
rnacentral:lncRNA from 1 species